ensembl:snRNA U6 U6 spliceosomal RNA
AUGUACUCAACUACAUACAUUAUAAAAUGGAAUGAUACAGAGAAAAUUAACAUGAACCCUGCAUAAGGAUGGUGAAGGUGAAGCAUAUUAUG